GGUUGUGGCUCAGUGGUAGAGUGCUUGCCUAGCAUGUGUGAGGCACUGGGUUUGAUCCCGGGCACCA
rnacentral:tRNA from 1 species